rnacentral:lncRNA from 1 species
UUUUUGGCCAAUUUGCAUAAAAAAUUCACUAGCUUUGCGCUUUUGCAAAACUAAACCACAUUUUUCGAUUUUGUAGAUUCGGACCGAAUUUUAAAAAAACAAACCAAAAUACCCUGAUACCUUUUUCACUCUCUUCUUUUUUUUCUCGCGUUCUCUUUUGUUUUCUUGCCAAAGAAGUCGGCGAAGGCGGAGGCGGAAACGGCCCCUUCGCCUCUGCCCCUCAUGCACUCGCCCUCGCCCCCGUACGCCCCGUCCUCCUCGCCUCCAACCCCGCUGAUGUAACACCACG